GACGAACGCUGGCGGCGUGCUUAACACAUGCAAGUCGAACGGAAAGGCCCUGCUUGCAGGGUACUCGAGUGGCGAACGGGUGAGUAACACGUGGGUGAUCUGCCCUGCACUUCGGGAUAAGCCUGGGAAACUGGGUCUAAUACCGGAUAGGAGCCAUUUUUAGUGUGAUGGUUGGAAAGUUUUUUCGGUGUAGGAUGAGCUCGCGGCCUAUCAGCUUGUUGGUGGGGUAAUGGCCUACCAAGGCGGCGACGGGUAGCCGGCCUGAGAGGGUGGACGGCCACAUUGGGACUGAGAUACGGCCCAGACUCCUACGGGAGGCAGCAGGGGGGAAUAUUGCACAAUGGGCGCAAGCCGGAUGCAGCGACGCCGCGUGGGGGAGGACGGCCUUCGGGUUGUAAACGCCUUUCGCUAGGGACGAAGCUUUUUGUGACGGUACCUAGAUAAGAAGCACCGGCUAACUACGUG
rnacentral:rRNA from 1 species